GCAGCCCUACAUACUAAAGAUGGUAUCUGUGUGGAGGAUCAUGCGGGCAAAGAAGCAAUACUCUUUCAAUCCUUCAAACAGAGACUUGGCAAUUCUUCUCAUAAAGAUAUGAAAUUUGAUCUUCCAAGUAUUAUCAAGAGAAUUGAAGGCCUAGAUGCUUUAACUGUCCCUUUCACACAUGCUGAAAUAGAUCAUGUUAUUAAAUCGAUGCCACCGGAUCGUGCACCAGGACCAGAUGGCUUCAAUGGUGCGUUUCUCAAAGCUUCUUGGCCAAUCAUCAAAGAGGAUUUUUAUAAAUUGUGUAAUCAAUUCUUUGAUGGAAAUCUCAAUCUUGAAAGCAUCAACGACGACUACAUCACUCGGUUCCCAAAAAACAAUGCGCCUAGCACCGUCAAUGAUUUCCGACCAAUCACCCUAUUGAACUGCUGUCUCAAAGUGAUCACUAAAAUCUCGGCCAACCGGUUGCAAAAAGUCAUUCUGAAAAUAAUUCACCGUAACCAGUACGGUUUCCUCAAAGGGCGCACUAUCCAGGACUGUCUCGCUUGGGCAUUCGAAUACAUUUACCAGUGCCAAAGCUCCAAGAAAGAGAUUGUACUUCUCAAACUCGACUUUGCUAAGGCCUUUGAUACCAUUGACCAUGAAGCAAUGCUCAUCAUUAUGAAGAACAUGGGUUUUAACGAUAAAUGGUUAGGCUGGAUUCAAUGUAUCUUUUCUUCGGGCAAGUCAGCUGUUCUCCUAAACGGUGUCCCUGGCAGACAAUUUCAAUGCAAAUGCGGUGUGAGACAAGGUGACCCUCUGUCCCCACUAAUUUUUGUACUUGCCGCUGACCUCCUUCAAGCUGCAAUCAAUGAUGCUUUUACUAGGGGGGAAAUCAGUUUGCCCUUUCCUUGCAAUACACAACGAGAAUACCCGGUGAUUCAAUACGCGGAUGAUACUAUUCUAGCUAUGCCUGCAUGUCCUGCACAAGCCAUGACCAUCAAAACUAUCCUCUCCGACUAUGCCACAUUGGUAGGUUUAAAGAUCAAUUUCCAUAAAUCUACUAUCAUACCCCUCAACUGUGGGCAGGAGGUCAUAAACACAUUGGCAAAUAUUUUUGGCUGUGUUAUUGGCAAGCUACCAUUUACCUAUCUUGGCCUACCCAUGGGCACCACCAAACCAACUAUUUUGGACCUCAUGCCUCUGGUCUGCCGUGUGGAGAGACGACUUUCAGCCACCCUCAACAUGAUUACAUAUGGAGGAAAACUCACAUUGUUGAAUUCAGUCAUAACUUCUCUCAUCAUCUUCGCUCUUUGCACACUCAAACUCCCAGCAGGCAUCAUAGAACUUAUUGACAAAAUCCGCAGAAAGUGCCUCUGG
rnacentral:rRNA from 1 species